rnacentral:rRNA from 1 species
AUUGAACGCUGGCGGCAGGCCUAACACAUGCAAGUCGAGCGGCAGCGGGAAAGUAGCUUGCUACUUUUGCCGGCGAGCGGCGGACGGGUGAGUAAUGCCUGGGGAGCUGCCCAGUCGAGGGGGAUAACUACUGGAAACGGUAGCUAAUACCGCAUACGUCCUACGGGGGAAAGCAGGGGACCUUGGGCCCUUGCGGGAUUGGAGGCACCCGGGUGGGAUUAGCUAGUUGGUGAGGUAAUGGCUCACCAGGGCGACGAUCCCUAGCUGGCUCUGCGAGGAUGAUCAGCCACACUGGAACUGAGACACGGUCCAGACUCCUACGGGAGGCAGCAGUGGGGAAUAUUGCACAAUGGGGAAAACCCUGAUGCAGCCAUGCCGCGUGUGUGAAGAAGGCCUUCGGGUUGUAAAGCACUUUCAGCGAGGAGGAAAGGUUGGUAGCUAAUAACUGCCAGCUGUGACGUUACUCGCAGAAGAAGCACCGGCUAACUCCGUGCCAGCCGCCGCCGUAACAC